UAACAAGGAUUCCCCUAGUAACUGCGAGUGAAGCGGGAAAAGCUCAAAUUUGAAAUCUGGCGGUCCUUUUNCGUCCGAGUUGUAACCUGGAGGAGUGUUUUCCGCGUCGGACCGUGUACAAGUCUCCUGGAACGGAGCGUCGUAGAGGGUGAGAAUCCCGUCCAUGACACGGACAGCCGGUGCUUUGUGAUACACUCUCGAAGAGUCGCGUUGUUUGGGAAUGCAGCGCAAAAUGGGUGGUAAAUUCCAUCUAAAGCUAAAUAUGGGCGAGAGACCGAUAGCGAACAAGUACCGUGAGGGAAAGAUGAAAAGCACUUUGGAAAGAGAGUUAAACAGUACGUGAAAUUGUUGAAAGGGAAACGCUUGAAGUCAGUCGCGUCUUGUGGAACUCAGCCUUGCUUCGGCCUGGUGUACUUUCCACUGGACGGGUCAACAUCAAUUUUGGCCGGUGGACAAAGGCGGGGGGAAUGUAGCGUCGUUUCGGCGACGUGUUAUAGCCCCUGGUCAUAUGCAUCGGCCGGGAUUGAGGACCGCAGCGCGCCCUUUUUUGUGGCCGGGGGUUCGCCCCACUUCCGCGCUCAGGAUGUUGGCAUAAUGGCUUUAAGCGACCCGUCUUGAAACACGGACCAAGGAGUCUAACAUGUUUGCGAGUGUUCGGGUGGAAAACCCUUGCGCGCAAUAAAGUGAAAGUUGGGAGCCUCCGCAAGGGGGUGCACCGACGCCCGGCCCUGACGUUCUCUGACGGUGCUGCGGUAGAGCAAGUAUGUUGGGACCCGAAAGAUGGUGAACUAUGCCUGAAUAGGGCGAAGCCAGAGGAAACUCUNANGGAGGCUCGUAGCGAUUCUGACGUGCAAAUCGAUCGUCAAAUUUGGGGC
rnacentral:rRNA from 1 species